GUUACAAAGUCACCUGUCUGGAAAACUCCAUGGUAGGCUCGUGAAGGAAUUAGAUGAGAAAAGCAUCUUAGUAUUAUGGAGAUAAUUUUGACUUCAAGGUCUUCCUGAUCUGAAGAGCAGACGUC